AUCAUAUGGUUUUUAUUUUUCAGUUUGUUGAUGUAGUGUGUCACAUCAAUUGAUUUGCAUUUAUUGAAAAAUCCUUGCAUCCCUGGGAUAAAUCCCACUUGACCAUGGUGUACGAUCAUGUUAAUGUAUUGUUGGACUUGGUUUGCUAAUAUUUUGUUAAGGAUUUUUGCAUCUAUGUUCAUCAGUGAUAUUGGCCUGUAAUUUUUCUCUUUUUUUUGUGAUAUCUUUGUCAGGUUUUGGUAUCAGGGUGAUGGUGGCCUCACAGAAUGAGUUUGAAAAUGCUCCUUCCAUUUUCUGGAAUAGUUUGAAAUGGACAGGUGUUAAUUCUUCUUUAAAUGUUUGAUAGAAUCAGAGUUCCCGUCGUGGCUCAGUGGUUAAUGAAUCCGACUAGGAACCAUGAGGUUGCGGUUCGAUCCCUGCCCUUGCUCAGUGGGUUAAGGAUCUGGCAUUGCCGUGAGCUGUGGUGUAGGUUGCAGAUGCGGCUCGGAUCCCGCGUUGCUGGGGUGGUGGCGUAGGCCGGUGGCUACAGCUCCGAUUCAACCCCUAGCCUGGGAACCUCCAUAUGCCGCAGAAGCGGCCCAAGAAAUGGCAAAAAGAGAGGAAAAAAAAAUGUUUGGUAGAAUUCACCUGUGAAGCAUUUGAUCCUAGACAUUUGUUUGCUGGGAGUUUUUAAAUUACUGAUUUCACUUCAUAUUGGUAAUCUGUGGUAUUUUCUAUUUCUUCCUGGUUCAGUCUUGGGAGAUUGUACCUAAGAAUUUGUCCAUUUCUUCAAGGUUGUUCAUUUUAUUGGUGUGUAGUUGUUCAUGGUAAUCUCUUGUGAUUCUUCAUAUUUCUUUGGUGUCAGUUUUAACCUCUCCUUUUCCAUUUCUGAUUUUAUUGAUUUGGGCCCUCUUUUUUUUUCAUUGAUGAACCUUGCUAAAGGUUUAUCCAUCUUGUUUAUCUUUGCAAUGAACUGGCCUUUUGUUUCAAAAGGUCUGACUUUACAGGCCAUAUAAAACAGGCAUCAGGCUGAAUAUGGUGCAGAGGCACAGCCUGCAGAUCCCUGGUCUAAACCAUAUUGUGAGAAUGUUUCUUAGUGUCUUUCCCCUCCCUGACUUUAAGCCUCUUGAGGGUAAACAUUUCAGUAAUACUCAUCUCCGUAUCAUGAGCAUCCAGCAGGAUAGAAAAUAAAACUCGGAGUAAAAAUCUACAUUCCCAUCCAAGAUACCUACUCACAAAUGGCGUUGAAUAUCCACAAAUUUCUCUUAGAACAAAGCUGAAAAGAGAUUUCUGCCCCACGACAUGUCUCAUGUAUGCACAACAUAAAAAGGGCUUAAAGUGACACCCUAUUGAAUUUUGGGUCCCUUGUAGUGACAAAGAAAUGUCUCCGUGAGGUAUUAAAGAUACCACUGCAUCAAAAGAUUGGGUAAGGUUUGCUGAACCAAAGCUGUCUAAUGGAUUCGAGACAAAGUGGGGCUGGCCAUCCUGCCCGCCUUCUGUUUCACAGACUUGGGUGUAGAAAUGCAUAUUAGUUUUAGAAAGAAGCACUUUGGGUUCGGAGGCCUGAUGCAAAUUAAUUAAUUAAUUCAGCCUACAGCAAAACAUCUAUAUCAAAGGACUGCCAGGGUGCCAGGGCUGUCCAUGUUUAAAACAUGAGUUUCCGUUGCAUUUUAUUUUUAGAGCGUCACUUUCAAGAACGCAUUCUCUGCCCUUAGCUCCCACACUUAUGUGCAGGUUGACUUUAGGAUAUUGCUGUUCAAGGGCCCAAGACAAGGAAAGGGUUGUGGUCUUUGGACUCUGCCUCAGGAUGUCAGGAAAGCCCCAAAGAAGCCUUUUCCAGGGACUUUUGCUCAUCAAAGGAAGGCUUGGAAAGAGAGGUCUCUCCCAGUGUCUCCAACACGUACACAGCCACUUGGCUGCCCUUGACUUUGCAUAAUUGAACAUUCCUUGGCUUCCUUACUUCUCCUCCUAUUGCCUUGUUCCUCACUCCCACCUCUGGAAGAAAGAUUUGAAGGACUUGACAUUCUGACACAGUCUUGCCAUCCUUUUUGACCUUCAUUCCUCCUUUGAUAACUGGCUUUUGGCUCAAGACAUGCCCCCCACCCCCCACCCCAAUCUCACCCCAUGCCCCAAGCUGGGAGACCACUAUCUUUGCCUGGGUCCUUUCUGCUUUGCUUAGAACCUUGGACCCAUCAAGACAGGGUUCCUGUCUUGACAUUUCCAUUGCACUCACAACCCUUGAAGGUGGGUCUUGGAUGUGGACCAUUGCAUAUGGCCCUGCUAACUCCCAAUACACAGUACAUCCACUGGCUGUCCUCCUGGGUUUGGGAAGGCCCCUGCUGCAGGGUCCUUGUGCCUUCCCUCCUCCCCUCUUCCAGAAGAGGUGCUUUCUACAUCCUGGUGAUCUGGAUGAAUGCUCGUCUGUUCCAUCUGCUCCCAGCCAUGGAAGUCAGCCAGGUCUGCACUUGCCUCAUCCUUAGUAAGAGAAAUGUCUCACUCCACGUCUUAGCUCCCGCCUACAUGCCUUGGUUGGCUGCCAAGACCUAGACCUUCUAGACCCAACCUGUGAUGAUGUUCAGCUGGGGAAAAUGUGGACUUGAGGCUAUAGAUUUAGGGUUCAUAGUUAUACCACUUGUUCCCAUUUUCUCAAAAUAUUAUUUCAGCGGGUAAUUACCAGGUGGAAUGGGUUGAAUGGUGUCCCUGUAUGUUCAUGUCCUAAUACAUGGCACCUGUGAAUAGGUCCCUUUUGGGAAGGAGGGUCUUUGCAGAUGUAACGAAGGUGAAAGCAUCCUAGAGCAGGCUAGGUCCUUAGUCCAGUGAGAAAUUGGUGGUGGGGGAGAGAGUCGAAUACAAAGAGAGAAGAGAAGACCAUGUGAAGACGGUGACAAAGAUUGCAAUGAGGCAUCUGUAAGCCAAGAAACACCAAAGAUUGAUGGCAGCCACCAGAGGCUGGGAGAGAGGCAUGCAAGAGAUUCCUUCUUACAGCCUCCAGAAGGAACCAACCCUGCCCACACCCUGAUCUUGGGGUAUUUUGUGAUGGAAGCCCUAGGAAACCAAUAUGUUCAGUAAAAAGAUGGUCCACAGCAAUUAAAUAAGGCACCUCUGCAGAGAGAUGAAUUAUUUCCUCCCCAGAUGGUACAUUCAUUUGGAAAGGGCAUUACAGUGCUCAACCUUGGCUUGGUCCUUUUUCAGUCAUGGAUGUAGUCUUUCACUUCCUUACAAACAGAGAAAUUUUACACCCUGGUCAGAGGACAUACCACCCAGGCUCGUGACUUUAAAUAGCACCUCUCUGGGCUGUCGUCCAAAUUUACCAAAUCCCUGGUAUGCAUCUCUCACCCACCUGCAGACCCAUGCAUCCAGUAGCUGAUACAUAUAAGGCUUCCAGUAGCUGAUCCUUCUAAGCUCCCUGUACAGUGAUUUUUAUGAGCAUUUCAAAAAUGGACUAGAUCACAUCAGCCCCAUAAAGUACAUGCCGUUAGUUCAUUUUUACUUUUCCAAUAAAUAGAGAUGUGGGUUGGUUAGCUUCCUGUCCAAGAUCGCAAAGCAGUGAGUGACAGAUCCUGAAAUAUACUCGAUGAGAGAAAAACAAUACCCGUGAUCCUGACAUUUGCCCCCAAACCCAUGCAGCUUGAUAUGAGCCACUGUUAACUAACCAGCCGUGUCAUGGAAGGGUCUCAGCAUUUGGGGUCUUGGCACAGCUCUGCAUGUCCAUGGACCACCUCUGUCUACCUCUCAUUUCGUGCAUGUGUCAGAUGCUCCUUGUAUCCACUUCAUUGUGUUUGGAAGAUUGCACGUCUGGCAGGUGUCAAGAGCUUGGUCACUGUUACCAUGCUUAGGAUUAUUAUCAUUCGGAGGCUUAUAGUGACAGUCAUUGUAGGGGUUCCCAUCGUGACUCAGUAGGUUAGGCACCCAACGCAGUGUCUGUGAGGACAUGGGUUUGAUCCCUGUCCUCGCUCGGUGGGUUGAGGAUCUGGCAUUCCCACAAGCUGCAGUGUAGGUCCCGGAUGGAGCUCAGAGCCUGUAGUGGCUGUGGCUGUGGUGUAGGCUGCAGCUCCAAUUCACCCCCUGGCCUGGGA
rnacentral:lncRNA from 1 species